rnacentral:rRNA from 1 species
UACGUAGGAGACGAGCGUUGUCCGGAGUUACUGGGCGUAAAGCGUGCGCAGGCGGCUUUGCAAGACAGAUGUGAAAUCCCCGGGCUUAACCUGGGAACUGCAUUUGUGACUGCAUGGCUGGAGUGCGGCAGAGGGGGAUGGAAUUCCGCGUGUAGCAGUGAAAUGCGUAGAGAUGCGGAGGAACACCGAUGGCGAAGGCAGCCCCCUGGGCCGACACUGACGCUCAGGCACGAAAGCGUGGGGAGCAAACAGG